GUAGCUCAACAGUUAAGAGCACUGCAUGCUCUUUCAGAGGACCUGGGUUCAAUUCCCAGC
rnacentral:tRNA from 1 species